CAAGCAUGAAUGCUGCUAUUUUCCGCUUCUUUUUUUACUUUAGCGCCUGAUUCAGGGGGGCUUUGCGCGUAAGAAAAGAAACGGAAAAUAAGCGCUAAAAGCCUCCAGCUGGAGGCUUUUUUUUU
rfam:Mangrovibacter sp. MFB070 Contig-022, whole genome shotgun sequence.